rnacentral:rRNA from 1 species
AGGGUUCGAUUCUGGCUCAGGAUGAACGCUAGCUACAGGCUUAACACAUGCAAGUCGAGGGGCAGCAUUGGAGUAGCAAUACUUCAGAUGGCGACCGGCGCACGGGUGAGUAACACGUAUCCAACCUGCCGCUUACUCGGGGAUAGCCUUUCGAAAGAAAGAUUAAUACCCGAUGGUAUAAAGAGUUCGCAUGUUCUCUUUAUUAAAGAAUUUCGGUAAGCGAUGGGGAUGCGUUCCAUUAGAUAGUUGGCGGGGUAACGGCCCACCAAGUCUACGAUGGAUAGGGGUUCUGAGAGGAAGGUCCCCCACAUUGGAACUGAGACACGGUCCAAACUCCUACGGGAGGCAGCAGUGAGGAAUAUUGGUCAAUGGACGAGAGUCUGAACCAGCCAAGUAGCGUGAAGGAUGACUGCCCUAUGGGUUGUAAACUUCUUUUAUAAGGGAAUAAAGUGAGGGACGUGUCCCUUUUUGUAUGUACCUUAUGAAUAAGGAUCGGCUAACUCCGUGCCAGCAGCUGC